rnacentral:tRNA from 1 species
AAGGCUUUAGUUUAAUUAAAUCGUCUGUUUUGCAUGCAGAAGAUGUGGGGUAAUUCCCGCAAGUCUUA